GCCUGGCAGGGCUUGGCUUUGUAUCCUGUUGGGAUGAUCAUCUCUUCAGUGUGAUGACUAAGGGUUGCAUCCAGUUAGUGCACUAGCAACUGAAGUUAGGAAGGCUGGGGUGGACGCUGCCAACCAGCAAUCCAAUCUGCCUGAUGGCCAACCCUCUGACCACUGGGAGCCUGGGGCUUUCUGAAUCAGACAACUUCCAGACUUCCCAUGUGCUGCCAAGCACAAGAUAUAUUCUGGAAAGAAGAGGAGGAGGAAGAAGAAAGACUGUAAAGGAAGGAGCAGUACUGUUUUCAUGAGGACCUACUAUGUGCCAGACAUUAUUCUAAGUGCUGGGGUCACCAUGGUGAACAAGACAGUCCCUGCUGUCUCUAGGAGUUCAUAUUCAAAUGGAAGAAAAUUAUUUAAAAUUGUACUUAUUAUCUCAGAUUUUUUCAGGUUUUGAUAAAUACUAUGAAGAGUAUAAAAUGGCACAGUAAA